AAGGAGAAGCCAAUAAAUUGAUUUAACACUUUCCCAAGUUCGAGCAGCCAUUGCAAAAUUUUUCAAGUUAAAUAUCUGGCAGGAGGCUGAGACCAAAUUUGGUGCAAGUGUUAUCCUGAAAGGCUGUUACAAUUUAAGGAAGUGGAAUGCUUGCAGCUGUUCGGCUGAAGAGACCUUCUGUGUUAAUAAA